rnacentral:rRNA from 1 species
GACAGAGGGUGCAAACGUUGCUCGGAAUCACUGGGCGUAAAGGGCGUGUAGGCGGAUAGAUAAGUCGGGCGUGAAAUCCCCAGGCUCAACCUGGGAACUGCACUCGAAACUGUUUAUCUUGAGUGCCGGAGAGGAAAGCGGAACUCCUGGUGUAGAGGUGAAAUUCGUAGAUAUCAGGAGGAACACCAGUGGCGAAGGCGGCUUUCUGGACGGUAACUGACGCUGAGACGCGAAAGCGUGGGGAGCAAACAGG